UCCCGGUUGAUCCUGCCAGAUCCGACUGCUAUCCGGGUAAGACUAAGCCAUGCAAGUCGAAUGGAAUCGCUGAUUCCAUGGCGAACUGCUCAGUAACAAGUGAUCAACUUACCCUUCAGUGGGGGAUAACCUCGGGAAACUGAGGCUAAUCCGCCAUAGUUGGCACACCCUGGAACGGGGUGCCCUCGAAAGAUAUUUCGAAAUGCCGAAUGUUCGCUGAAGGAUAGGAUCGCUUUCGAUUACGGUUGUUGGUGAGGUAAUGGCUCACCAAGCCUCUGAUCGAUAAGGGCCGUGAGAGCGGUAGCCCUGAGAUGGAUACUGAGACAAUGAUCCAGGCCUUACGAGGCGCAGCAGGCGCGAAACCUUUACAAUGCACGACAGUGUGAUAAGGUUACCCGGAGUGCUAAGAGAAAACUUUUAGCUGUUAUAGGUGUGUAAAUAACCCUAUGAGAAAGGAGAGGGCAAGGCUGGUGCCAGCCGCCGCGGUAAAACCAGCUCUUCAAGUGGUCGGGAAUAUUAUUGGGCUUAAAGCGUCCGUAGCCGGUUAGAACAGUUCCUGGUAAAAUCUGGCAGCUUAACUGUCAGGUCGCUAGGAAUACUAUCUUACUAGAGGGUGGGAAAGG
rnacentral:rRNA from 1 species